UUCGAACGCUGGCGGCGUGCUUAACACAUGCAAGUCGAACGGAAAGGCCCUGCUUUUGUGGGGUGCUCGAGUGGCGAACGGGUGAGUAACACGUGAGUAACCUGCCCUUGACUUUGGGAUAACUUCAGGAAACUGGGGCUAAUACCGGAUAGGAGCUCCUGCUGCAUGGUGGGGGUUGGAAAGUUUCGGCGGUUGGGGAUGGACUCGCGGCUUAUCAGCUUGUUGGUGGGGUAGUGGCUUACCAAGGCUUUGACGGGUAGCCGGCCUGAGAGGGUGACCGGCCACAUUGGGACUGAGAUACGGCCCAGACUCCUACGGGAGGCAGCAGUGGGGAAUAUUGCACAAUGGGCGGAAGCCUGAUGCAGCAACGCCGCGUGCGGGAUGACGGCCUUCGGGUUGUAAACCGCUUUCGCCUGUGACGAAGCGUGAGUGACCCUAAUGGGUAAAGAAGCACCGGCUAACUACGUGCCAGCAGCCGCGGUGAUACGUAGGGUGCGAGCGUUGUCCGGAUUUAUUGGGCGUAAAGGGCUCGUAGGUGGUUGAUCGCGUCGGAG
rnacentral:rRNA from 1 species